rnacentral:misc_RNA from 1 species
AACGCAACUUGCGCCUUUUACGAGGCAUGUUUGUUUGAGUGCCGCAAUUCUCUGCAGCAAUGCGAUUUGACUCGAGUCUUUGUUGACCGAGUUUAAACAAAGCUAGAGGAUGGUCAGUUUGGACUAGUCCGAGUGCUAAGCAUUCUUGGGUCUAGGACGGAUUGGACAUUAAAAUCUAACUUUAUAUUUGGCCUCAAAUCAAGCAAGACUACCCGCUGAACUUAA